rnacentral:rRNA from 1 species
AUUGAACGCUGGCGGCAUGCCUUACACAUGCAAGUCGAACGGCAGCACGGGUGCUUGCACCUGGUGGCGAGUGGCGAACGGGUGAGUAAUACAUCGGAACAUGUCCUGUAGUGGGGGAUAGCCCGGCGAAAGCCGGAUUAAUACCGCAUACGAUCCACGGAUGAAAGCGGGGGACCUUCGGGCCUCGCGCUAUAGGGUUGGCCGAUGGCUGAUUAGCUAGUUGGUGGGGUAAAGGCCUACCAAGGCGACGAUCAGUAGCUGGUCUGAGAGGACGACCAGCCACACUGGGACUGAGACACGGCCCAGACUCCUACGGGAGGCAGCAGUGGGGAAUUUUGGACAAUGGGCGAAAGCCUGAUCCAGCAAUGCCGCGUGUGUGAAGAAGGCCUUCGGGUUGUAAAGCACUUUUGUCCGGAAAGAAAUCCUUGGCUCUAAUACAGUCGGGGGAUGACGGUACCGGAAGAAUAAGCGCCGGCUAACUACGUG